AUGGAAAUCCCCCCCAGCUCCGCCCCGGCCGGCGCCGGCGGCGCGGCCGCCCCCGCAACCCCCGGCUCCUCCUCGAACCCAUCCCCGCCGGCCAAGCGCCCCAGCAUCACGCUCCGCCUCCUCUGCCCGGCCACCCGCGCCGCCGCCCUCUGCCCCGCGAGCGACCUCCACGUGGAGCACCCCCCCGUGGGGGACGAGGCCGUGCUCGUCGUAUCCGGGCCUGAUGCGCCGGCCGCGGCCGUGAGGGUGUGGGAGCGGGUGGUGGGCCACAGGGUCGGAGGCGACGAGGCGGGGGAGGAGGGGGAGGAGAAGGAGGUGGCCGGCGUCGUGGGCUGCCGGAUGCUGGCGGCCGGGGGGCAGGUGGGCUGCGUGCUGGGGAAGGGCGGGAAGACGGUGGAGCGGAUGCGGCUGGAGAGCGGCGCCCAGAUCAGGGUCUUCCGGAGCAGGGAGCAGGUGCCCCCCUGCGCCUUGCAGGGGGACGAGCUCAUCCAUAUAAGUGGGAGCUUUUCUGCAGCAAAGAAAGCACUUUUAUUGGUUUCAACCUGCCUCCAAGAUAAUCCUAGGCCAGACACAAGCAAUUUUCCAUCUGGAAGACCAUUCGGGCCUCCAGGCAGUGGAGUUGGUUGUCCACCUGGUGUGGAUCCUCAUUCUCAAAGAAGCUAUUUACCACCACCACAUGUUCCUGACUAUCAUGCAAGGAAUUUUUCAAGCAACGGUGCUGCCCCUGGUCCUAGAUUCUUUGUUGAACAAGAGAUAAUGUUCAGAAUGAUAUGUUUAAAUGACAUGGUGGGCGGCGUAAUUGGAAAAGGCGGUUCCACUAUCCGUGCAUUACAGAGUGAAACUGGUGCUUCAGUCAAGGUUAUAGACCCUGUUGCUGAUUCGGAUGAACGUAUAAUUGUGAUCUCUGCGCGUGAGAAUUCUGAGAUGAUGCAUUCUCCAUCUCAGGACGCAUUGAUUCGGGUAUAUUCUAAAAUCUCGGAGGCGUCUAUGGAUAAAAGUUCUUCUGUACCUGCCAGGCUUCUUGUUCCAGCGCAGCAUAUUGGUUGCCUACUUGGCAAAGGUGGAUCCAUAAUUGCAGAGAUGAGGAAGGUAACAGGAGCCAGCAUCCGAAUUUUUGGGAAUGAACAAAUUCCAAGAUGUGCACAACGAAAUGAAGAGCUGGUUCAGGUCACCGGUAGCUUUCAGUCCAUCCAAGAUGCAUUGCGUCAUAUCGCUGGGAGGAUUAGAGAUCUCAUCAUUCCCCCGAAGCCACAUCCUAGUGGAGGCAUGCCUCCGUAUCCACCUGUUGGGAACCCUUCUCAUCAUCAAUCAAGACAAGAAGCUCCACCACAUCACAGUGGAGGCAUGCCUCCCUAUCCUAUGCAUCCUUUCAGACCUAAUCCUCCUAUGGGUCCUUUUGAUGUGGCAGAUCAUCGACCACCUGGCCCACCUCCUUCACAUCCAAUGGAACACAUGAGUGCUGAUAGGAUGCCCUACCCGUAUGGUUGUGAACAAGGAGGUCCUCGUCCUUUUGUUGAGCAGCCAUCACCAAGAACCUGGGCUCCUGAGGCACCAGCAACUGACGCUCCAAGAAGCAUGCCUGAUAUAGUACCAGCUGUAGAUUUCAGAAAGGGACCAGGGGCAAGCAGUGAAAACCAAGUGGCUACACCAGCAACUACAACAACUGAAGUUGUCAUUCCUUGCAAGUACAUAGGUUUUGUUUGUGGAGCCAAUGACAGUGACCUCGCUGAGAUAAAGAAGAUAUCCGGCGCUGAAAUUACAGUACAUGAUCCAAAGCCCGGAGAUACAAAUUCAACAGUUAUUAUAUGUGGAGACCCCGAACAAACGAAGAGGGCGCAGAGCCUGAUUCAUGCUUUCAUUUUUUGUGGUCUCUACCAAAAAUGA
rnacentral:rRNA from 1 species